rnacentral:rRNA from 1 species
GGUAUGGUAUUGGCUUACCGUGGCAGUGACGGUUAACGGGGGAUUAGGGUUCGAUUCCGGAGAGGGAGCCUGAGAAACGGCUACCACAUCUAAGGAAGGCAGCAGGCGCGCAAAUUACCCAAUUCUAACAGCAUAAGAGAGGUAGUGACAAGAAAUAACAAUACAAGGCAGUUAAAAUGCUUUGUAAUUGGAAUGAUAGAAAUUUAAACACUUUUUAAAGUAUCAAUUGGAGGGCAAGUCUGGUGCCAGCAGCCGCGGUAAUUCCAGCUCCAAUAGCGUAUAUUAAAAUUGUUGCAGUUAAAAAGCUCGUAGUUGAAUUUCUGCUAAAAAUAACCGGUCUGCUUUUAACAAAAGUGGUAUCUUGGUGUGUUUUUAGCAAUAAUGUCCUUUGAAAUGUGUUUUACUUUGUUGUAAAAGACAAUAUUCAGGAUUUUUACUUUGAGAAAAUUAGAGUGUUUCUAGCAAGCUAAUGUUUUGAAUACUGCAGCAUGGAAUAAUAAAAUAGAAUUUUAGUUCUACAUUGUUGGUUUUAAGAGCUGAAUUAAUGAUUGAUAGGGACAGUUGGGGGCAUUUGUAUU